AGCGCGGUAGAGAAGCGGCAUCUCGCCAGGCUCAUAACCUAGGAGUAUCGCGGGUUCGAGUCCCGCUCGCGCAACCA
rnacentral:tRNA from 1 species